CACGUAGUUAGCCGUGGCUUAUUCCUCAGGUACCGUCAUUAUCUUCCCUGAGAAAAGAGGUUUACAACCCGAAGGCCUUCAUCCCUCACGCGGCGUUGCUGCGUCAGACUUUCGUCCAUUGCGCAAAAUUCCCGACUGCUGCCUCCCGUAGGAGUCUGGGCCGUGUCUCAGUCCCAGUCUGGGUGAUCGUCCUCUCAGACCACCUAACGAUCGUCGCCUUGGUGAGCCGUUACCUCACCAACGAGCUAAUCGUACGCAGGCCCCUCCGAAGCGCCUUGCGGCUUUACUGGUGUAAUCGAAUACACCACCACAUGCGGUAUUAGCCACCCUUUCGGGCAGUUAUUCCCCACUUCGGGGCAGGUCACCCACGCGUUACUCAGCCCGUCCGCCACUAACGAACAAAGCAAGCUUUGAUCGUCCGUAUGACUUGCAUGUCUCAUGCACGCCGCCAGCGUUGAUCCUGAGCCAGGAUCAAACUCU
rnacentral:rRNA from 1 species